ACGGAGGGUGCGAGCGUUAAUCGGAAUCACUGGGCGUAAAGCGCACGUAGGCGGUGUCGUAAGUCGGAUGUGAAAGCCCUCGGCUCAACCGGGGAACUGCCUUUGAUACUGCGACGCUGGAGUGCCGUUGAGGUAGCCGGAAUUCCAGGUGUAGGGGUGAAAUCCGUAGAGAUGAGGAGGAACACCAGCGGCGAAGGCAGCUUCCUGGCCGGCUACUGACGCUGAGGUGCGAAAGCGUGGGGAUCAGACAG
rnacentral:rRNA from 1 species